UGGGGAAUAUUGCGCAAUGGGGGGAACCCUGACGCAGCCAUGCCGCGUGAAUGAAGAAGGCCUUCGGGUUGUAAAGUUCUUUCGGUAUUGAGGAAGGUUGAUGUGUUAAUAGCACAUCAAAUUGACGUUAAAUACAGAAGAAGCACCGGCUAACUCCGUGCCAGCAGCCGCGGUAAUACGGAGGGUGCGAGCGUUAAUCGGAAUAACUGGGCGUAAAGGGCACGCAGGCGGUUAUUUAAGUGAGGUGUGAAAACCCCGGGCUUAACCUGGGAAUUGCAUUUCAGACUGGGUAACUAGAGUACUUUAGGGAGGGGUAGAAUUCCACGUGUAGCGGUGAAAUGCGUAGAGAUGUGGAGGAAUACCGAAGGCGAAGGCAGCCCCUUGGGAAUGUACUGACGCUCAUGUGCGAAAGCGUGGGGAGCAAACAGGAUUAGAUACCCUGGUAGUCCACGCUGUAAACGCUGUCGAUUUGGGGGUUGGGGUUUAACUCUGGCGCCCGUAGCUAACGUGAUAAAUCGACCGCCUGGGGAGUACGGCCGCAAGGUUA
rnacentral:rRNA from 1 species